rnacentral:rRNA from 1 species
CGGAGGGUGCGAGCGUUGUCCGGAAUCACUGGGCGUAAAGGGCGCGUAGGCGGCUGGGGAAGUCUGUGGUGAAAGCUCGUGGCUCAACUACGAGUCGGCCAUAGAUACUCCUCAGCUCGAGCACUGUAGAGGCAGGUGGAAUUCCGGGUGUAGCGGUGGAAUGCGUAGAGAUCCGGAAGAACAUCGGUGGCGAAGGCGGCCUGCUGGGCAGUAGCUGACGCUGAGGCGCGACAGCGUGGGGAGCAAACAGGAUUAGAUACCCUGGUAGUCCACGCCGUAAACGAUGGGCACUAGGUGCUUGGGGGAGCGACCCUCUGAGUGCCGGCGCUAACGCAUUAAGUGCCCCGCCUGGGGAGUACGGCCGCAAGGCUG